rnacentral:rRNA from 1 species
CGAAAUUCCUUGUCGGGUAAGUUCCGACCUGCACGAAUGGCGUAACGACUUCCCUGCUGUCUCAACCACAGGCCCGGUGAAAUUGCAGUACGAGUAAAGAUGCUCGUUUCGCGCGGCAGGACGAAAAGACCCCGGGACCUUUACUAUAGCUUGGUAUUGGUGUUUGGUCAUGCUUGUGUAGGAUAGGUGGGAGACUGUGAAGCUUCAACGCUAGUUGUGGUGGAGUCGCAGGUGAAAUACCACUCUGGUGUGAUUGGGUACCUGAACCUUGGCCCGUGAUCCGGGUUGGGGACAGUGCCUGGUGGGUAGUUUAACUGGGGCGGUUGCCUCCUAAAUGGUAACGGAGGCGCCCAAAGGUUUCCUCAGUCUGGUUGGCAAUCAGAUGGUGAGUGUAAGUGUAUAAGGGAGCUUGACUGUGACACUGACGGGUGGAGCAGGUGCGAAAGCAGGGACUAGUGAUCCGGCAUCUACGUGUGGUUGUGGUGUCGCUCAACGGAUAAAAGGUACCCCGGGGAUAACAGGCUGAUCUUCCCCAAGAGUUCAUAUCGACGGGAUGGUUUGGCACCUCGAUGUCGGCUCGUCGCAUCCUGGGGCUGGAGUAGGUCCCAAGGGUUGGGCUGUUCGCCCAUUAAAGCGGUACGCGAGCUGGGUUCAGAACGUCGUGAGACAGUUCGGUCCCUAUCCGCUGCGCGCGUAGGAGAAUUGAGAAGGGCUGUCCCUAGUACGAGAGGACCGGGACGGACGAACCUCUGGUGUGCCAGUUGUUCCGCCAGGAGCAUGGCUGGUUGGCUACGUUCGGGAGGGAUAACCGCUGAAAGCAUCUAAGCGGGAAGCCUGCUUCAAGAUAAGUUCUCCAUCCAGCCUGUGUGCUGGGUGAGGUCCCCCGCAGACGACGGGGUUGAUAGGCCGGACGUGGACGCCUCGUAAGGGGUGGAGCUGACCGGUACUAAUGGACCGACCGCCUACACC